rnacentral:SRP_RNA from 1 species
GCUUGGUGUGGUGGUGCACAUCUGUAAUCCCAGCUACUUGGGAGGCUGAGGCAGGAGAAUUGCUUGAACCUGGGAAGUGGAGGUUGCAGUGAGCCGAGAUUGCGCCACUGCACUCCAGCCUGGGUAACAAAGCAAGACUCUGUCUCAA